rnacentral:rRNA from 1 species
GACGGAGGAUGCAAGCGUUAUCCGGAAUGAUUGGGCGUAAAGCGUCCGCAGGUGGCAGUUCAAGUCUGCUGUCAAAGACCGGGGCUUAACUUCGGAAAGGCAGUGGAAACUGAACAGCUAGAGUAUGGUAGGGGCAGAGGGAAUUCCUGGUGUAGCGGUGAAAUGCGCAGAUAUCAGGAGGAACACCGGUGGCGAAGGCGGGUCUCUGGGCAGUAACUGACGCUGAGGAGCGAAAGCGUGGGGAGCAAACAGG